ACUCACUCAACCCAGGACACUGAGGCAGCGUUUGCGGGGAAAGAAACGAAGAGUUUGUGAGCGUGGGAGCCCAGGCGGGGUGGCCUGGGAGGGAGGAUGCGGGAAGUGGGGCACCACAAGCCCCUUGCUGGGCAGGCUGGGAGAAGCCCCCACCUCCCUCCUGGCACCCAGCGUGACUGGGCCUGGGGGAGCUCAACUGGCCAAGCUCCCUCCUGCAAGAAGGUGCUUUUACACAUGGGAAAUUCUUUUCUUUAGGAGGUUGUCGAUGAGCGGUGGUUAUUCACUGGGCCUCUCGGGGCGCCCCCGGCUCUGUGGCUGGAAGGCGGUGCCGCGUGGCGGCCGUGGUUCAGCUGUGUAUCCUGCCCCACGCGUUGUUUCCCCUUUUUCCUCCCUUUGCUCCAAUCUGAGGGUGAUUUCCUGCACCGUGGGGCGCGGAGGGCUGGGUGCAUCCUCGCCUUGUUUUCCUGCUGCCCUUCAGAGCCUGCCCGGCGCAGCGGCGGUCGUGUCAAGUGAGAUCCUGCAGCUUCUGCAUCCUCGGGCUCCGACCCCACGGGACAGAGAGGAGGGAGCAGAAUUCUCCCCGUGACUUGGCCCAAGCUCAGCCGUGGCACCCUUACAGCUCAGAGGACCUGGCGACGCGGCGUAUCUGGGGAGCAGAUACUCCAGAGAACACUGGGUCCCUCUGGAGAAGCCUGGAUUUCCUCCCUGCUCAGUAACUCUGGAGCCCACCUAUGGUGGAAGCUGCAGCAACGGGCCGCUGCUCCUCUCCAAAAGGGUUUGCGAAGCGUCGCCCAGACCUCCCCGUUGCUGUUAAAUAUCUGUGCAAAGGAGGGAGAGGAAAAGAUGGGAAUUAAGGCCCAGGGGUUUGCGGGGGCUCACCCGCAGCUGGGGAAGGGAGGGGGCCCUGGGGGCCCCCCCCCCAGAAGCCACAGAGGAAACCCCAGCCCAUUGGCCAAGGUUGGCGACUUUAAAGAGAGUUUUACAGCGAGCGAAGGAGGAACCUGAAGCACAGCAGAGAAAUGGCCCCCGUGGUUUUCUCUACCACCUCCAGCUAAUGCUGAAUGAAAGCUCCGAGCAGGGUGAGGGGCUCUGCCUCCAUCCCCCACCUCGGGGGCUGCAGGAGAAGGAGCUUUUCCCGGGGAGAGGCGGGACGCGGCGCGGUGCUGCGCUCCUGGCCGGAGCUGCUUGCUGCUGUGCCAAAAUCACGGCGUUUCUUCUCGGUCUUCGCCCUGGGAGCUUGGGAAGCCGGGGGUGAUGGUGCGUGGACGUGGCCUGCAAUAUUUAGUGCUCUUAAAAACGCCCCCCUGCCCGCGUCGGCCUUUGGCUGCGCCUGCUCGUCUGGGAGGGGGAUGCCCCACAGGCACGGAACAGCCACGCUGCCCCUGCCUCGGUUCUCAAACGGCUCCGCAGCCCCCCCCCGAGUCCCCCCAGCUGCUCGGUGGCUCUGGGAGCCCUGGGCUGGGCAGGAGCCGCGAGUGGAGGGUGGGAGCCCCACGGGAGCCCCACAACCCCACGGGCAGCAGGAUGAGGAGCACCCGGUGCGGCGGGGUUCGCGUGCAGCGCUCGGCUCAGACACUGCUCAUCACCUUUAAUUUGCACUGAGAGGUUUGCUAAAUCCAGAAACAAAGGCUGCUUGCUAAUUAGUUUAUUCUUUAAAGCAGCCUUUCAGGAGCAAGUAAAUCAUCCUGGAAAGGCUUCCUUCUCCCCCCCGGGGUUGCAGAGGGAUGUCAUUACUUCGUUAGGUCAGCUAAUGGAGCUGGAAGAAAACAAACCCGAGCGCACCCUCCUUCCUUUGCAUCCCCAAGCCAGCAGAGAUCAAAGCCCGGGUGCCAGCGCGUCGUGGCCCGAGCCCAGCCCGCUUUGCCCCCGGCGCUUCCCUCCGGGGACACGCAGCAAAGGCUCCUGCGCGGGGUGGGGGGUCCCUGGCCGGCCCGGGACACGACCCGGAGCUGGCUGACACGACAGCAGGCUUGCUGAGAAACCGCGUUCAUUCCCAGGGCUGCUUGGGAUUCUGCAGAGAAGGGCGAGAAAUUUUGUGGAAGGCUGUGGGCAAAUUGUGUUUCUGAACAGAUUCCACGAAUGAAAUGCAGGGUUGUGCAA